rnacentral:rRNA from 1 species
UACAGGGGGUGCGAGCGUUGUCCGGAAUCACUGGGCGUAAAGGGCGCGUAGGCGGCUGGGGAAGUCGGCGGUGAAAGCCCGGAGCUCAACUCCGGGUCGGCCGUCGAGACUCCUCGGCUCGAGCUCACUAGAGGCAGAUGGAAUUCCGGGUGUAGCGGUGGAAUGCGUAGAGAUCCGGAAGAACACCGGUGGCGAAGGCGGUGAGCUGGGCAGUUGCUGACACUGAGGCGCGACAGCGUGGGGAGCAAACAGG